GUAAAUUGUCACAUAUGGUUUUAAUUUGCUAAUGUUUACUUGCUGAAGUAGAAAUAUUUAUUUGUUUCUGUUAAUUUCAGUGUUUUCACAACUGUCUGAUCAAUGAUAUUGAUUUUUCAGAACACACAGCUGUUUAGAGGAUGAAUAUAGUAUUGAUCCUUUAUUGGCUGACAUGAUGAUGAUCCACAAUGACAAAAUCUCUCUACUCAUUUUAGGGAAAAUGUCAUUGAUUAGGACAUAGUAAUGUUGAGCUACACAUUUAAAACAUCAACACAUCUGAUUGGAUUAUAAAUAGAUUUUUAUCUUCUUUUAUUCUUUAUUCAGAUUGAGGUGGUGCGGUUUGUCAGAGAUCAGCUGUGCUGCUCUGGUCUCAGCUCUGAAGUCCAACCCCUCCCAUCUGAAGAAGCUGGAGCUGGGUGGCAACAACCUGGAGGAGUCAGACGUGAAGCAGCUGUGUGAUCUGAAGGAGAGUCCAGACUGUAGACUGGAGACUCUGGAAUGGAAGUAUCCGUAAGAGUGAUCAGGAGGAGGAUGUUGGAGGAUCAGCUGAGUCCUGAUGAUCCGAGAGCUUGAAGCAGCAGCAUCACCUCUAACUGGGCCAUGUUACUGGGAGGUAGAGUGGAGAGACUGACUGAGGCUCUGCACGGUUCAUCAUUAGCAAUGACACGUGGUCAUGAAAGAAGUAUGUCGGGCAAGUUGAUUGGCCGACAUCAGCCUCUCCUGGUCAGUGACGGUGGCUCUGUCUCCAUCAGAAUCAGCUGACUCAGCAUACGUCAGACUACAGAGUGGAGCCAAGUGUGUAGAGCAUAUGUUUGCUAACAUUUCACAUUUUAACAUCAAUGGUAAACUUCACUGUCGUCGCUGCAGGACAGUCACCUGUUUG